rnacentral:tRNA from 1 species
UCCCUGAUGGUCCAGUGGGUAAGAAUCUGCAUUGCAAUUCAGAGGACAUGGGUUCGAUUCCUGGUCAGGGAA